GCUGUUUUCAGUGAAAAGUCCUGAUACACCCAAACAGCAGACAGAUGUAGUUAGAGACUACCUGGUAAAAAUAGAACAGCAUUUAGCAGCAAAAGAGCCCAUCAGUAGUUGGUGGUGCUGUUAAGAUGGCCCUUUAGCGGCUGGAUUUGCAGUAGUGAAUGAUGAACAAGCCAAGGAUUCAAAGGACUUCAACGUGCAGUUUAUUUACAACAACCUCAGUGACAUAACUAGAACAAUGGAACUAGUCAGUCACCAGCAACACAGUUAGAUGGAACUGGCGCCUUUUAUACUGUGUCCCUGGUGGACUACAUUGCAUCAUACCAUUGACAGGUAUGCUCCAUUUCUGCUCCCAAGUGAAAUUAUUCCAUCAGGACGUAAUUUCUAAUUUUAGCAAAAUAUUUACAAUGGUGUUCUCCUGUCAUUCACCUCCCAACAAACAUAAACCCCAAAAACACAAUUACACCCAAUAUAUUUAACAUACAAAUUCACCCAGAUCCCCUCUACCUAAUCCGCCACUUGGUCCCUCCCGGAACGUUCUUUACCCUGUUCGUACGCCGGGGACUUCUUUCGGCCGAACACGGGAGCAGACACAAGAUCGGACCGGUAGAGCCCAGCGCCGGUCACCCGAUACCUGUAUUGUGACAUGUUCAAUACAUAUGCCAUGUAACCAAUCUACACUUACUACUCAAGAUGCAAAUAUCCUGUACAACGCUCUGUGAAUAAUAAAGUGCAAAAUGUCGCUGUU